rnacentral:rRNA from 1 species
CGUACACUCCUGCGGGAGGCAGCAGUGAGGAAUAUUGGACAAUGGGUGGAAGCCUGAUCCAGCCAUCCCGCGUGCAGGAAGACGGCCCUAUGGGUUGUAAACUGCUUUUAUCUGGGGAUAAACCUACUUACGUGUAAGUAGCUGAAGGUACCAGAAGAAUAAGCACCGGCUAACUCCGUGCCAGCAGCCGCGGUAAUACGGAGGGUGCAAGCGUUAUCCGGAUUUAUUGGGUUUAAAGGGUCCGUAGGCGGACUGAUAAGUCAGUGGUGAAAUCCGACAGCUUAACUGUCGAACUGCCAUUGAUACUGUUAGUCUUGAGUAAGGUUGAAGUGGCUGGAAUAAGUAGUGUAGCGGUGAAAUGCAUAGAUAUUACUUAGAACACCAAUUGCGAAGGCAGGUCACUAAGUCUUAACUGACGCUGAUGGACGAAAGCGUGGGGAGCGAACAGGAUUAGAAACCCUAGUAGUCC